CGAAUGAUGAGCUCUGCCACAGUGCCAUGCUGCUUGAAUUCAUAUUUCUCGCUGGCAUACAGAACAGUGCCUCCUUUCAUCCAUUUCACUGGGGUAUCGGGUUUGCUGAGCUCACAAGUCAGUUUGAUUUGUUUUCCUUCCUUGGCUUCUUGGUUUUGAAGCUCUUGCUUGAAGAGAACUGGCAUUUCUUUAACAACCAAACUGGCAGAUGUUUU
rnacentral:lncRNA from 1 species